rfam:Methanotrophic endosymbiont of Bathymodiolus azoricus (Menez Gwen) isolate BAZMOX genome assembly, contig: contig04471
CGUCUACUUGGGCAACUAAGUCGAUGAUUAAACAGAAGUCAGCAGACGACAUAGUAGCCAAAUGCCCAUCGUAAUGGUUGGGACAGGGUGAAGGUC